AAAAUAGAGAAAAGAAGUGACCUUGGGCAACCCGCCCAUGUUUGAGAAAAUUGAGAGAUGAAAGCCUUUCCAAGGCUUUUGCCUUAAGAGAUCCACCCCAUUUGGAAGAGAAAUGAAGGGAAAAUAGCUUUGUGAGGCUUCCACCCCAGAGGAGAGAAAGAGUUGAGUGAAAAGGCAAACUAAGUGAGGGCUUGGUUUUGUGAGAUUUUAGAGCACCUGUGAGCUUAUUCUUGUUAUUUUCCUAUCAUCAAGCUUCAUUGCUCCUAGAAAUUCAUCCUUUAUUAAGAGAUAUGGGUUAGAUCUCAUGGUAGCUAAGAAAUAUCAAGGAAAAGGACUAGAAACCGUAAGGAAGAAAGUGUGAAUGAUUCACAGGUUCAAGGAAAGUUUAGGUAAGUGAAGUUGAGUUUGAUCUAUGAAUUUCUUAAUGAAUUGAAUGGUGAUUGUGUGAAAAUGUUUGUGGUAGCAAAAAGAACACCAUGUGGGUGCCAAGAAACCCAUGCAUGUUGGUGACUCCAAGCUAAGGAAGAAUCUUCAAGGAUUCAAGAACCGGAUGCAUGCAUGUAGGUGGAUCUUGGAAUGCAUGGUGAUUUUGAGCUAGAUAAGUAUUGGGAAGUGUGUAAGUGAGGAAAGUUUGCCGUGGUGGUGUACCGGAGGAGAUAACGGGUGACCGACAAGUAGAAUUAGCUAAAUAUGCACCCGAAUCGAUAACGACGUAGUGUCCCGCUAUUAUAAGAGAAGUGAUCAGCUAGCGUGCUUUUUAUAGGCAUAUUAUGGUCCACUGCGAUGUAGGCUAAGGCAUCUCCUAGUACCCUAUUUCGAGUCGCUUCGCUGUUAGAGGUCAGGUCAUUUAUAGUAUAUUUUGUUUUGGAAGUAAACAUUUGUGUAGAAUGUAAACAUAUAUUUAUAUGAUGAUAAAACAUAAUGUAUAGAGAGAAUAUUUGCUAUUAAUGAAAUUGUGAUGAUUAUGAGA
rnacentral:sRNA from 1 species